rnacentral:rRNA from 1 species
UACGAAGGGGGCUAGCGUUGCUCGGAAUCACUGGGCGUAAAGGGUGCGUAGGCGGGUUUUUAAGCAGGGGUGAAAUCCUGGAGCUCAACUCCAGAACUGCCUUUGAUACUGAAGAUCUUGAGUCCGGGAGAGGUGAGUGGAACUGCGAGUGUAGAGGUGAAAUUCGUAGAUAUUCGCAAGAACACCAGUGGCGAAGGCGGCUCACUGGCCCGGUACUGACGCUGAGGCACGAAAGCGUGGGGAGCAAACAGGG